UUCCGGUUGAUCCUGCCGGAGGCUACCGCUAUUGGAGUUCGAUUAAGCCAUGCGAGUCGCGAGAAAUUAGAUUCUCGGCGUACCGCUCAGUAACACGUGGGUAACCUGCCCUAUGCUGGAUAAUAACCUCGGGAAACUGAGAAUAAUGAUCCAUAGUUCACUACGCCUGGAACGGUGAGUGGAUGAAAGCUCCGGCGGCAUAGGAUGGGCCUGCGGCGUAUCAGGUUGUAGGGGGUGUAACGUACCCUCUAGCCCUCUACGCGUACGGGUGUUGGGAGACAUAGCCCGGAGAUGGAUUCUGAGACACGAAUCCAGACCCUACGGGGUGCAGCAGGCGCGAAAACUUGGCAAUGCGAGAAAUCGUGACCAGGGAACUCCAAGUGCAUCGGGUAAGACCGGUGCUUUUCUUGACUCUAAAUAGGUCUUGGAAUAAGGGGUGGGUAAGGACGGUGCCAGCCGCCGCGGUAAUACCGGCGCCUCAAGUGGUAGUCGCUUUUAUUGGGCCUAAAACGUCCGUAGCCGGUCUGAUACAUUCGUGGGUAAAUCAACCAGCUCAACUGGUUGAAUUCUGCGAGGACGGUCAGACUUGGGACCGGGAGAGGUGUGGGGUACGCUCAGGGUAGGGGUAAAAUCCUG
rnacentral:rRNA from 1 species